CAAUAGCGUAUAUUAAAGUUGUUGCAGUUAAAAAGCUCGUAGUUGGAUUUGUGGUUCGUCCCGCCGGCUGGGUCAUUGACUUUUGCUGUGCUGGUCGUCCAUCCUUGGGUGGAAUCUGUGUGGCAUUAGGUUGUCGCGCAGGGGAUGCCCAUCGUUUACUGUGAAAAAAUUAGAGUGUUCAAAGCAGGCUUAUGCCGUUGAAUAUAUUAGCAUGGAAUAAUGAUAUAGGACCUUGGUACUAUUUUGUUGGUUUGCGCACUGAGGUAAUGAUUAAUAGGGACAGUUGGGGGUAUUCGUAUUCCAUCGUAAGAGGUGAAAUUCUUGGAUUUUUGGAAGACGAACUACUGCGAAAGCAUUUACCAAGGAUGUUUUCAUUAA
rnacentral:rRNA from 1 species